ensembl:lncRNA
CGGCACUCGGGGCCGUGCCCACUGCCCUGGGCAGGCUGUUCCAUGCCCACUGCCCUCUGGUGCAGACCCUUUCCCUCACCCCCAGCUGCCCCUCCCCUGACCUGAACCCCUUAGGUUCUAUUCUAAUCUCUCAUCAAAGAUUUGGAGAACAUUUUGAAGGGAUAUUGCAAUUUUUGAUCCAGCAUGUGUGCAUCUUUUGUGAAUAUUCUGUCAGAAGGCCAUGACAAAUGCUAAUACAUGUCUGCAGAAGCCACGUGAAGUCUCUGCAUUUACCUUGGCACCACAGAUACUGAGAGGAGCUGCUGGAAGGAACGGGGCUCUGCCCACGCCGCAGCGUUCGAAGCUUUUGCUAAUGGCUGAGGCACUCUUAGAUGUGAAGAGAGAAAGCCUGAGAUCUCCAGUCCUGAAUCUGGUGAAAAAGGUGUAACUGCCAUAUCACAGCACGGAACGCUGAGUACAUUAUUCUUUCCAACAGCAGGAUUUGAAGUCAACUUUGUAGGAGGAAAGAGAUGGAUACUCCCAGAAAGUGAAUGCCCCAGCCCUGCCCUGGGCGAGGCUCUGCCCCUGCCGAGGACAUCUGAGGGACUGCAGGAGGAAUCAUCCCAAGAGGUCCCGCUGGCCCAUGGCUCAGCUUUCUGUGUAAAGUAUGCCCCGAUGAUGAAGAAGAAGAAAACCAGCUCAGCCCAGAUUAUUCCAUUAAACACAGCCUCUGGUCACUGGAGAGAAGCGGAAGCACAAAGUCGGGUUCACAGAUCUGUUGCACACAGAGACUGUAUUGAGAGUCGUGUUAAAAAUAUCUGGGUGACUGUAAGCCUGAAACCAUUUUGUGUCUAAAACUGAUUUCCAUUUCCUUUUCCUUUCUUUUGUUUUUGUUCCACUUGUUAUAAAAAGGCCUUUCCACAACCCUCCACCAUGGUGCUCCGCACUCAGCUCUUCUAAGGUGCUUAUAAAAAAUGCUUUUAAUGGUACAACGCGUAGACAUCUUUCAACGUGUCUCUCAAAUCGAGGGCACUUUUUCGUCCAUCCUGGGCUGAUGGAUCACUGGG